AACAUUUGCAUUCGGUCUCAUUCUUUAUGAGAUGAUUGAAGGAUCUCCUGCAUUUCACCCAAAGCCUCAAGAGGAAGCGGCCAAGAUGAUUUGUUCAGAGGGUUUGAGACCAUUAUUCAAGAAUAAAUCCAAAUCAUAUCCUGAGGGCGUGAAAGAGCUAAUACAAGAGUGCUGGGAUCCAACACCUUCCGGCAGGCCAACGUUCUCAGAUAUAAUUGUACGCCUGAACAAGAUAUCUGCAAGUUGUUCCAAGCAAACUCGCUGGAGAGACAACUUCAAGCUACCAUGGAAACAAGCUGUGCACAAAUGUAUC